rnacentral:tRNA from 1 species
AGACCAAGGGCCUUCAAAGCCCUAAGCGGGAGUGGAAGUCUCCCAGACCCUG